UGGGGAAUAUUGCGCAAUGGGCGAAAGCCUGACGCAGCGACGCCGCGUGAGGGAUGAAGGUUUUCGGAUCGUAAACCUCUGUCAGAAGGGAAGAAACCGCACUGUGCUAAUCAGCAGUGCCUUGACGGUACCUUCAAAGGAAGCACCGGCUAACUCCGUGCCAGCAGCCGCGGUAAUACGGAGGGUGCAAGCGUUAAUCGGAAUUACUGGGCGUAAAGCGCACGUAGGCUGCUUUGUAAGUCAGGGGUGAAAUCCCACGGCUCAACCGUGGAACUGCCUUUGAUACUGCUUAGCUUGAAUCCGGGAGAGGGUGGCGGAAUUCCAGGUGUAGGAGUGAAAUCAGUAGAUAUCUGGAGGAACAUCAGUGGCGAAGGCGGCCACCUGGACCGGUAUUGACGCUGAGGUGCGAAAGCGUGGGGAGCAAACAGG
rnacentral:rRNA from 1 species